UACGGAGGAUCCAAGCGUUAUCCGGAUUCAUUGGGUUUAAAGGGUGCGUAGGCGGAAUGAUAAGUCAGUGGUGAAAUCCUUCAGCUUAACUGGAGAACUGCCAUUGAUACUGUCAAUCUUGAGUACAUUUGAUGUGGGCGGAAUGUGUCAUGUAGCGGUGAAAUGCUUAGAUAUGACACAGAACACCGAUUGCGAAGGCAGCUCACAAAAACUGUAACUGACGCUGAGGCACG
rnacentral:rRNA from 1 species